GUUUUAUUGUGAAAGUCCGGCGACUGGCCCCGCCCCCGGUUUCCCUUUUUCUUAUUUCGUUUUGAAAGUGGAGAAAAGGAGAAUGAGUAAAUCAGUAUAUCGCAAAUGUGUUUUACCGAUUUACGGAAGCGAAACACAGCAUAAAAAGACGUUAUUCAAUUUUAAUUUUACACAUGAAUAAUGAAUUGCAGUUCAUGCACGGACCUAGCAGAUAAUCAUGUGAUGUCUUCAGGCCUCUAGCCAUUGACAUCCACCCUCUACCUGUACCUGAUGAGGAGGAGGAUGAAGAGCUGGACAGCGAUGAACCUUGGUUCUCUCCUUCCGACGCUACUGUAUUCUUUCUCCUUCUUGCUUUCCUGUUUCUCCUCCUACUCCUACUUAAAUUAAGCAGGAGAACUAGCCUUUGCGUCUGUCUGGGCAGUUCUCCUUCCAGGUUGGAUUGACUUUUCUUUCACCCUGAAGUCUGAGUUCAGCUCCUGGCCGGGCUGUCGACCCCCCAUGCAAUAAUUUUGUCCACAGCGAUAGUGGCUUAGUUCAGUCACUGGAACCAGGGGCACAUAGCCUCAUGUUCUCCCAGUGAAGCUCCUCAGUAGCAGAGGAGGAGAGGACUGCAGUGUCAUGUUUUACCGUCCCAGAACCACAGCCUAUUCUUGCAUCAAUCACCUUGUCUGUAUCCACCACUGUGUCUCAGCCUGCAUCCACCUCUGCUGCACCUGUCGCCAAGCCAGGUCAAGCUUGAACAAAACAGCUGUCACGUUCUGAUGCAGCCAUCUUGCCCAGCUACAGCUCCUGUGCAGCCACGUCUCACCUCAGCUUCAGCUUCAGCUCAAGCUCCAGCUCUAGAUCCAGCCAAUUUAGGUCUUUCCCCUGGGGUUCCCGGCGGUCCGCUGACGACCACACCUGCCUUGGUUCCCGGCGGUCCAGAGAGGAACACGUCUGCCUCAGCUUCCGGUGGUCCAGGGGAGACCACGUCAGCCUUGAUUCCUGUGUCCUCUGCUCUAGUUCAAUUCAAUUUUAUUUUAUUUAUAUAGCGCCAAAUCACAACAAAGUUAUUUCAAGGCACUUUACAAAGUAAGGUUUAAAACCUCACACAACUAAACCCAACAAAUCCCACAUACAGCAAGCAUUUAAUUUGACAGCAACAGUGGAGAGGAAAAACUCCCUCUCUAACGAGGAAGAAACCUCCAGCAGAACCAGACUGGAUGUGGGCGGCCAUCUGCCUCGACCGGUUGGGGUGAGAGGAUAGAGAGAUAGAAAAGCACAGCAACAGCAACAAGCAACAACAAGCAACAACAGAGCACAGGCAGGAUGGUAGGACCAGGGACUGGAUGCAGGCAGGAUGGUUGGAUCCGCAGCUGCCCAUCACAGACACCAAACUUUGAGUCCAAUGAUACCUGUAGGUAAGGACAGAGAGGGAGAAAGAGUGUGUGGGGGGGGGGGAGAAGCACAACUACUGGACAGAAAGAGACAAGGUUAGUUAAACAUGGGACAAUGAUGGGAGGUUAUGGGACAGAGGAGGUAGAAGGAAACAGAGGAGCUCAGUGUAUAAAUUAAGUCCCCCAGCAGUCUAUGUCUAUUGCAGCUUAACUAAGAGAUGGUUCCUGUGACUAACAAUAAUUGCCAGUGACCUGAACCAUCUCUAACUAUAAGCUUUAUCAAAAAGGAAGGUUUUAAGCCUAAUCUUAAAGGUGGAGAGUGUGUCAGCUUCUCGAACCUGAAGAGGGAGCUGGUUCCAGAGGAGAGGAGCUUGGUAGCUAAAAGCUCUGCCCCCUGUUCUACAUUUAAACACUCUAGGAACCGCAAGUAGCCCAGCGCUCUGAGAACGAAGUGUUCUGCUGGGAGCAUAAGGAACUAUAAGGUCUUUAAGAUAAGAAGGAGCUUUAUCAUUGAGUACUUUGUAUGUGAGUAGGAGAAUUUUAAAUUCUAUCCUACAUUUUACAGGCAGCCAGUGCAGAGAAGCUAAUGUAGGAGAAAUGUGAUCUCUCUUUCUAAGUCCUGUCAGAACUCUGGCUGCAGCAUUUUGAAUGAGCUGUAGGUUUUUUAAGGAGCUGUUAGGACAUCCUAUGAGUAAGGCGUUACAGUAGUCCAGCCUAGAGGUAACAAAUGCAUGGAUCAGUUUCUCUGCAUCGCUCUGAGAGAGGAUGCUUCUGAUUUUAACUAUAUUUCUAAGGUGGAAGUAGGCGGUUCUGGAGAUUUGCUUAAUGUAUGAUGUAAAAGAGAGAUCCUGGUCAAACAUGACACCAAGGUUCCUCACAGUAGAAUCUGAAGCUAAUGUUAUGCCAUCCAGGGUGGCUAUCUGACUCAAUAGUGUCUCUCUCAGAUUUUUAGGCCCAACAAUAAGAAUCUCGGUUUUAUCUGAGUUUAGUUGAAGGAAGUUUUGGGACAUCCAGGAUUUGAUGUCUUUUAAACAACCCUGAAUUUUGACUAGUUGAUCUGUUUCAUUUGGUUCCAAGGACAUGUAUAGCUGAGUAUCAUCUGCGUAAAAAUGAAAAUUAAUAGAAUGCUUUCUAAUAAUCUCACCUAGAGGAGACAUGUAUAAGCUAAACAGAAUUGGACCCAGCACAGAACCCUGCGGAACUCCAUAGCUAAUCCUUGUGCGUGUGGAGAAUUUAUCAUUAACAUGAACAAACUGGAAUCUUUUCAACAAAUAGGAUUUAAAACCAUCCCAAUGCUGUUCCAUUAAUCCCGAUUCUAUGUUCUAGUGUCUGUAAUAGAAUGUGAUGAUCAAUUGUAUCAAAUGCAGCACUAAGAUCUAACAGGACAAGGACAGAAACUAGACCAUUGUCCGAAGCUAAUAGAAGAUCAUUAGUGACUCUAACCAGAGCUGUUUCUGUGCUAUGAUGUUUUCUAAAUCCUGACUGAAAAUCUUCAUACAGGUUAUUCCCACUAAGGUGGUCAGAUAAUUGUUUAGCCACGAUUUUUUCCAGAAUCUUGGAAAUAAAGGGUAAAUUUGAAAUGGGCCUAUAGUUGGC
ensembl:lncRNA